AAUGUCGUAAAGUCAGAUAUAAAACGUGACGCUUUUCUUCCUGUGUCCUUCUCAGCUUCAACCCGCCUGCAAGUGUUCGUGAAGAAGGCUGGCUUAAAACUAGGAGAUUCUGAGGCAUCUCCAUGGUGUUUGAAGUGUGUAGUAACCAACAUAUGCAGUAUGGUUUCGGAUGACAUUAAUGGUCCUCCUGUGAACUGACUGGGCAAUCAGGCUCCAGAACACAAUGUGGGUGAAUAAUCCUGUGAGUUAAUGCAUAAUUUGUGCCUGAGGAAGCUUGUUCUAAUGGUGUGAUCUGAAGGAUGUCCACUAGAAGGCGCAACACCUUGUGAUUGGUGAUUUGGAGGUUUGUAAUGUUAAAGUGGUUUAUUAGAAAUAACAUUAGUCAGCACUGUUGGUAUCUGCAUCCAGUUGUAUGUCUGACUGAAGUGUUCAUUUGCCAGUGCUAGAGAACCUUGACACCCGCUCUUAUUGGACCUUAUAUGUUUGUUGUUGGGUCCUGGUGGUGGUCGAGACAAGGCCCUUAUUUUUUAUUUUCUAUAUAAAUGCAGCCAGUCUAUAAGCACUUCUCAUAAGUAUUGAAAAGUUGGUUGCUACACAUUGCAUUCCCAGAUCCU